rnacentral:rRNA from 1 species
CCCUUAGAUGUUCUGGGCCGCACGCGCGCUACACUGGUGCAAUCAGCGAGUAUAAAAAAAUUUUUUCUUUGUCCUGAAUCGUAAGGUUUGGGUAAUCUUGUGAAAUUGCACCGUGUUCGGGCUUGAUGCUUGUAAAUAUUUAUCAUAAACGAGGAAUCCCUAGUAAUCGCAAGUCAUCAACUUGCAAUGAUUACGUCCCUGCCCUUUGUACACACCGCCCGUCGCACCUACCGAUUGAAUGGUCCGGUGAAAUCUCGGGACGGCGGCUUGGUCGCUUGCGUCCGACCGCUGAAACUUGAUUAAACCAUAUCAUUUAGAGGAAGGUGAAGUCGUAACA